UAGUUUAGGAUGGCCUCGGAUUAUACU
rnacentral:piRNA from 1 species